rnacentral:rRNA from 1 species
AGAGUUUGAUCCUGGCUCAGGACGAACGCUGGCGGCGCGCUUAACACAUGCAAGUCGAGCGAGAACCGGACCUUCGGGUCCGGGGAAAGCGGCGAACGGGUGAGUAACACGUGAGUAAUCUGCCCUCGACAUCGGGAUAGCCCGGGGAAACCCGGAUUAAUACCGAAUGGCCCAACAGCUCUUCGGGGCGGUUGGAAAAGGUAGCUUCGGCCUCCGGUCGAGGAGGAGCUCGCGGCGGAUUAGCUUGUUGGCGGGGUAAUGGCCCACCAAGGCGACGAUCCGUAGCUGGUCUGAGAGGACGAUCAGCCACACUGGGACUGAGACACGGCCCAGACUCCUACGGGAGGCAGCAGUGGGGAAUCUUGCGCAAUGGGCGAAAGCCUGACGCAGCGACGCCGCGUGCGGGAAGAAGGCCUUCGGGUUGUAAACCGCUUUCAGGAGGGACGAAGCUACUCGGGUGAAUAGCCCAGAGGGUGACGGUACCUCCAGAAGAAGCCCCGGCUAACUACGUGCCAGCCGCCGCGGUAAUAC